GACGAACGCUGGCGGCGUGCUUAACACAUGCAAGUCGAACGGAAAGGCCCUGCUUUUGUGGGGUGCUCGAGUGGCGAACGGGUGAGUAACACGGGAGUAACCUGCCCUUGACUUUGGGAUAACUUCAGGCAACUGGGGCUAAUACCGGAUAGGAGCUCCUGCUGCAUGGUGGGGGUUGGAAAGUUUCGGCGGUUGGGGAUGGACUUGCGGGUUAUCAGCUUGUUGGGUGGGUAGUGGCUUACCCAGGCUUUGACGGGUAGCCGGCCUGGGAGGGUGACCGGCCACAUGGGGACUGAGAUACGGCCCAGACUCCUACGGGAGGCAGCAGUGGGGAAUAUUGCACAAUGGGCGGAAGCCUGAUGAAGAAACGCCGCGUGCGGGAUGACGGCCUUCGGGUUGUAAACCGCUUUCGCCUGUGACGAAGCGUGAGUGACGGUAAUGGGUAAAGAAGCACCGGCUAACUACGUG
rnacentral:rRNA from 1 species